rnacentral:rRNA from 1 species
UACGUAGGGACCGAGCGUUGUCCGGAUUCAUUGGGCGUAAAGAGCUCGUAGGCGGCUACUCAAGUCGGAUGUGAAAACUUGAGGCUCAACCUCGAGACGCCGAUGGAAACCGUCUGGCUAGAGUCCGGAAGAGGAGAGUGGAAUUCCUGGUGUAGCGGUGAAAUGCGCAGAUAUCAGGAAGAACACCCGUGGCUAAGGCGGCUCUCUAGUACGGUACUGACGCUGAGACGCGAAAGCGUGGGGAGCGAACAGG